GAUGAACGCUGGCGGCGUGCUUAACACAUGCAAGUCGAACGGAAAGGCCCUGCUUUGGUGGGGUGCUCGAGUGGCGAACGGGUGAGUAACACGUGAGUAACCUGCCCUUGACUUUGGGAUAACUUCAGGAAACUGGGGCUAAUACCGGAUAGGCGCUCCUGACGCAUGGUGGGGGUUGGAAAGGUUCGGCGGGUGGGGAUGGGCUCGCGGCUUAUCAGCUUGUUGGUGGGGUAGUGGCUUACCAAGGCGUUGACGGGUAGCCGGCCUGGGAGGGUGACCGGCCACAUUGGGACUGAGAUACGGCCCAGACUCCUACGGGGGGCAGCAGUGGGGAAUAUUGCACAAUGGGCGGAAGCCUGAUGCAGCAACGCCGCGUGCGGGAUGACGGCCUUCGGGUUGUAAACCGCUUUCGCCUGGGACGAAGCGUGAGUGACGGUAAUGGGAGAAGAAGCACCGGCUAACUACGUG
rnacentral:rRNA from 1 species